rnacentral:rRNA from 1 species
GACGAACCGUGCGAACGUUAUUCGGAAUCACUGGGCUUAAAGGGCGCGUAGGCGGGCUCGAUAGUCAGGGGUGAAAUCCUCCAGCUCAACUGGAGAAGUGCCUCUGAUACUGCGCAUCUUGAGGGAGGGUAGGGGCAUCUGGAACGGUCGGUGGAGCGGUGAAAUGCGUUGAUAUCGACCGGAACUCCGGUGGCGAAGGCGAGGUGCUGGACCCUUUCUGACGCUGAGGCGCGAAAGCCAGGGGAGCAAACGGG